rnacentral:rRNA from 1 species
AGUGAGGAAUAUUGGUCAAUAGUCUAACGGCUGAACCAGCAAUUUGGAAGAACGAAAAUAGCGGUUUAUUCGCAUAAAGUUCUAGAUGGAUAAAUGAUUAUGACAAAUUUCUAUCUAUUAGUCUCGACAAAAUCACGUGCCAGCAGUCGCGGUAAUACGGGAGAGACAAGUGUUAUUCAUCUUUAAUAGGUUUAAAGGGUACCUAGACGGUUUAUUAUGCCUCUACCAUAAGGAUACAAAUAAACUAGAGUUUUAUGUGAGAGUUGUGUCAGAACAGACGGUGUAGAGAUAAAAUUCUUUGAUACUGUACGGCACUGGUAAAGGCGAAGGCAAUCCUUUAUGUAAAAACUGACGUUGAGGGACGAAGGCUUUGGCAGCAAACAGGAUUAGAUACCCUAAUUAGUCUUAGCAGACAAUGAUGAAUGCCAUAGGUUAGAAAUUUUGAUCUAUAAAUGAAAGUGUAAGCAUUCCACCUCAAGAGUAAUGUGGCAACGCAGGAACUGAAAUCAUUAGACCGUUUCUGAAACCAGUAGUGAAGUAUGUUAUUUAAUUCGAUGGUCCGCGAAAAACCUUACCACAAUUUGUAUAUUAUGUUAAUUUUUAAUUAAUCAUAAUACAGGUGUUGCACGGCUGUCUUUAGUUAAUGUCGUGAGACCUUGGUUGAUUCCAGAUAAUCUACGCAAACCCUUGUA